rnacentral:lncRNA from 1 species
GUGUGUUUUCCCUAUUUUCCUAUAGCUGAGCCUCCUCCCCAAGAAGGCCUGGAAGUGAUGGGGCAUCCCAUAUCCAGAAGACCUAGAGGCUUUCCAGUGCUAAAUACCAACAGGAGAAACCGCUCUGAUUCACUCUCAGAUCACCCGGGCCCAGAUAAGACAACUGCACUCUUCAAUCCUUCAUUUCAGCAUUAUACUAAUUGCAGCAGCAUGUGAGACGUGGAGCAGCAUGGUGGUAUUCAAAGACCCACACAUUGUAAUCCUAGAACUGUGAAUACAUUCCAGUAUUGACAAAUAGAAAUUAAGGUUUCCAACGC